rnacentral:tRNA from 3 species
GGGGAUGUAGCUCAGCGGGAGAGCACCUGGUUUGCAACCAGGGGGUCGGCGGUUCGAAUCCGCUCAUCUCCACCA